GCACAAAGGUGAUGCGUUUGAAACACCCGCUGCUUGCUUUCCUCGUUUCCUCUCUACUUAUCGGUUCUGCCCUUGUUUGGGCAGGAGUGGGAGGCGGGCAACAUCUUGGGGCCUGCGUGCCCUUUGGGAUAACUUGAACGGUAGGGUCCCAGCAGGGAGAGGAAGCAGGAUAAGAAAAGAGAACCAGAAUCUCCAUUUCCCCACAAAGUCCAACGACCCACUCGCGUAACUCCUUUGUGGGACAGUUGCCCGCCUCUCAGCACGAGCGGGAUGGGCGGGGAGAGCGUGCAACUCGGCGUCUGAACCUGGCGGCGGAGGCUGGCGGUUUGGUCCACACGGACGACAGGCAGCGCCCUCGGGGACCCGGCGAAGGGCCGGAGCAAGCCAGCCCUGCUACUGCGGGGGCCACGCGGGAGCCACGCGGAGAGACCUUCGACACAAGCACUAUUUUGUUUCGAAAGAAGGAAGGUACUUAUCCGAAAUUUACUUUCCUGUCACGGUGCCGGGCCCUGCACUGUAGGCGGAGCGCCGCCUGAAUUUGCCACGUGAAUUUGGCAGACUUGGGACCAUAAACUGAAAAACAAGAUACGAAAGUACGCUGCGAUCAAUUAUUACUGUAUAGAGGACAACUCUUGGAAAUUCACAGACCCUUGAAGCCUGUCUGCGAAUCCCACGUUUAGCGCCUCUACUUUGAGAAAAGAAAUGCCACGACCCUGAGGAUGACACUUUUAAAGGUGGCUGCCCAAUUUUGCCAACACCAUUUAUUGAAGAGAUUAUCCUUUCUCCGUUUACUGUUGGCUCCUUUCUUGCUUGGCUUGGCAGUCCUACAAAGAACCUGGGUCUUCUGUGGUACUAACUUCCUGUCUGAAACUCGGGGAACCUGGGGCAGGCUGCUGCCCCCCUGCGGGCUCACAGUCCAGCAGACAGAAACCGACUUUAGCCGAAGGUGAGAAAGUUAGCGGAGGAGGCACCUUUAAGGCACCUUCUGAAGCACAAGGAAACCAGAGCCUUUGGCCCCAGAAGGCCUCAGAAGCACCACUCUCACCUGGUGCUGCUGGCCGCGCCCAAGCACUGGGGGCCGCCUUGUCCCGGCAGACCGAACGUCUGUACGUGACAGCUGAUGGUGAGAGGGGAGAAGCAGGCAGUGACAGUGCUUCCCACCUCGUCUUCCCCCAAACAAAGGAAUAAGAGAAAACACCUCACCUUUAUGCCAUGUCUCUCCAUAUUCGCCACCUCCUCUGAUGUUGGCCACCGCAAGGACACCACCCAUGUGUCUCACAAAGAUGAGCCUGGACACACUGAGCUGUCUGGAGAAGAUCAGAGACGCACUGAAGUCCCGAGGUGCUGUGCUCACCUGUAGUUGGGGGUGAUGGAUAUGUUGAAGCCGCCGUAGCCGUAUAAGAAAGCAGGGUGAGAGCCAUCCAAUUUUAUGCCCUUUUUAUGCACGAUAAACAUUGGAAUCUUUGUACCAUCCUUGCUGGGGUAGAAAAUCUAGAACAAAAGAAAGCAGAAGAGUUAGAUUUAGCAUUCCUCAGCAAACAUUUCCAUGCUUUUGUUAGGUAGUUUAGAUAGAAAUGAGCACUGGGAGCGGGAGAGGAAGGGGAAAGGAACAAUCCAGAACACAAGGAACCUGAGCUGUCAAUCAAUCACGAAACCAGGAUCUAAAAACAGGAAAAAUGAGGGAACGGCGCCAUUUUUCUCUCUUGGAUUAGCCUGCUCCCAGUUCUCAGGAGUGGACUAUCUUUCACUAUUUUUUUUUACUUCACUAAUAAAAAAAUCUUGCUUAUAUCAUGCUUUUUGUCUAUUCAAAAAUUCUUUUUUUUUCAGGUGACUAAGAACCGAGGCCAGCUCCUGGGGCCGGUUGUGGCAAUUGGACUGAGAAUACAAGGUGUGGUAGGGUGACCAGCCACUCCAAUCAGACGACGGAGAUACCCAAGGACAUGGUAAGACUGUGGCCGUUUCCCCCUUUCUGGAGUGGAGGCUGAGACAUCAGUUCCCAUCCCCGAAUCAGGACCCUAGGACGCUAGGCACUGCUGAUUCAUGGCUACCCUCUAGGAUGCAUCUGGUUGUGGACAGAGGCUGAAACAUCAGACCAGUUAGUCCAUGGGCUUCUCACCUUAGGACGCUAAGCUCUGAAAAUCCCCCUGUAUCCUACCCUUGUUUUUCAGAUGGGAAACCAAGAGUCUAUCCCUGCUGGGACUCCUUUGGGCUGCGUAUUGGCCAACUGGGACCAUUUUAACCUACAAACCCUCAAAAGAAAGACACUUAUAUUCCUUUGUAAUAUUGCCUGGCCACAACAUCGACUUCCCUGCAAGGAAGAAGCAUGGCCUAUAAACAGGGGCAUAAACUCAAUCGUCUUGUUCCAGCUUGACUCUUCUGUAAGAGACAAGGCAAAUGGUCUGAAACACCAUAUGUUCAUAUUUUUUACUUACUGAGGGACAACAAUGAUCUCCUACUCAGUCUGCCUCUGAUAUUAGACAAAAACUCCAAAAGGUGGUCCAGGAACCUGGAGUCACUCUUGAUGAAAUGCUGACCAUCGCUGCUACAGUUUUUAUCAUCAAGAUCAGGUGCAAGAGGCCAAGGCUCAGGGAAGGAAAGGAGGAAGGAGGCCAGGCCUGCGCAGAUGACUGCAGCCCUUCAAGGGCAGCCACUGUCCAUACGUACUCGGCCCCCAAUAGCCCGAGAGUCAAACUUCAAACGGCUAUACAACAAGGUAAUCAACCAAUCAGCCAAGUCAGCUUACUUAUACAAGCCCCUCGAUGGACACCACCCUCCCAGUGUCAGCCAGCUAGCCUGGGACCCCAAUGAGCAUGGAAACUGAGAAACAGCAAAAACACUGUGAUGAGCAAAUGCACACAAGAUAAUUUUGCUGCAGAGAAAUGAAUGACUGGAACACUGAAAAGGUGAACCUGGAAGAAAAAUUCACGGGCACAAAGGCAUUUAUGCUCCAUAAAAGUCCACAAUGUACUCACUAGAUCCUGACGUGAUGUGAAAACAUACUUCUACAGGGCAGGCCCCUCAUGGAUCGCCGGUGUCCACGUCCUCGGCAGGGACAGUGCAGGGGGAUGGCUGGGAGUUGGUUAACCCAGGAGUGAAGAAAGAAGACUCUGGCCCAGAACAUAACACCUGCAGAGCCGUCGGGACACUGCUUACCUAGCUUCCUCAUCAUGCCAGAGCUGGAAAGUGGAUAUAAUGGCUGGAACCCCUGCAGCCUUCUAGGACCACGAAGUCAUACUGGGAACAGAAGCCAUAUAUGGAUAAAGAAGCAAGAGAAAAGGAGCUUGGAUUCCUUACACCUUGGACAUCAAGUCGUUCCUGAACUGAUUCCUCCUGCACUUCUUUUUAUGACAGUUUUCUACCAAGGAGCUGGAGCUAGAUGCCAGCUGUGAGUAACCUGAAAUCUACCCGCUCCAGCAUCACCAAAGCUCAGCAACCCACAGCUUUUAUGGAUCUCACAAGCAUGACUAUUAGAACAAUGUAAACAAAAUUUGAACCUAUCUAAGUGACUUUACUACCUAAAACAGCAAAUUCAGCAUCAUCUAUAGAUAACUGAAAUAUUAAAAAUUUUGUAUAUACAAAGGAUGAACAAAUCUCUAGUGACUACUGCUGUCACCUACGGCACUGAGUUUAUGCACAGCCUGACCUGUCACAGUUAUGGCCUCGACUACUAUGACAUUGUUAAAGAACAAUAAACCUAGCUGGCAGUCUGGAAGUGAAUCUAAGCCACCCAAAUUAAAACACCUGUUUAACUCAUUAAUAUCGCAGCAAGAUAAACAGCAAAUUCUCAUGAUGCCAAGUCACGGCCAUGUCCCCAGGAUGCGAUGGGGACUCUUUUCCUGGCUGCCCUCCCCAUGCUGUCAGCCACCAGGCCUGGGGGCUGCUCUCCGGGGCCCCAACUCAAUGCAGACCCCAUUUCCUUAGGACAAAGUUCAGAGAAACUCUGAGCUGUUAUCCACCUUGUCACAAGGGAGCCCUGCAGGAGGCUCAGAAAAUCUCCCCAGGUCUGUCUUAUGGGGACCGGCUGCUCACUGCUCAGGCCACCUUGUGAUUUUUACUGUAAGUGGGUUACUUAUUCUCAGAUUGCUGCAAAGCACUGUCUUUUUUUAAAACACGGAAGAGGAUUUAUUUACAGUGGAAUGGCGACCGCAGCCACCACACACUUGGAUGCUGGAGCCUAUUUCUCUGUUACAAGAUAGCAAGAAAACAGACUCUUCCUUAUCAUCUUUUACAGUCAAAUUAUUUUAACGCAGCUGCUAUCGAAGGAGGAAAGAACACAAACAUGUGCUCUCUGAACAUGAAUAUUAUGGUCUCAACCUAGAAAGCCUGAAGAACAAAGAGAAUUCUAAAGAAAGGCAGGAAUCUGUUUAUGCAAGAAUAUGUCACUGUGAAGCACAAUAUAAAAAGAAAAUCAUCAAGAACAACUGAUUCAAUUUAAAACAAUUUCCUAAUCAUAUGCAAGCACCAUGGCCUCUCAACAGGUUCUUUUUAAAAACACUCUUCACUCGCAUGUUCUGAAUAUUUCUGACCUAUUCUGAGCCGUGAGAGCCCAGCGCCAGAGAAAAACAUCUUUGCUAGUUUCAGCAGUCCACUCUCCACGGAUGCAGACGAGUCAAUAUUCAAAACUGCACAUGCCACGCACUCAGCACAGAGGUUAACGAGGAUGAAAACACUAAUUAGUGUUCUGAGGACACGUUCUCUGAGUGGCAAAGCCCGUAUACCAGCAACUACAAAUUAUGUAGCUCCAAGGUUAGAAAAAUCUAGACUAAAUUAAAGGGAAAAAAAAAAAACCCCAUUCUUUCUACCCCAAGGCAUCUUACCUUGGUAAACCCAAAGAAUCAUCUAAUUUUAACAUUUCUGGUCAGCUACAAAGCAAACCACCUUUGGGACAUUCUUGAUGUUUCACACGCAUCACUGUAAGUAAACCUCAGAAGAGUAAAAUUCCUCAGUAUCAGAGAACAGGAAUUAGGAUAAUACAAUCUGUGUUAAAUAUUUGUAAUUCUUACUAUUUUGUACUCAAUUUGCUUGCCCCAUAAAACUUUAUCUCCCUUCUAAUGUAUUCUUUUAUAAAGUGUGGAAACUGUUAUUAAUGGAUUUAUUCAGAGUACACUCUGUUUCCUGUUCCCUUUCAGGUCUAUAAAUUUUGUCUUUCAUUUGUGGAGGACAAAAGCCAAUCUUUCAGCUGGCUGAACAAAAUCGAGAUACUGAGAAACCAAAAGGUGCAUUUUUGCUACACUACAUCCUCUGUCAUGCCACGGUCACCCACAGUGCAAACACUACUCCACUCAUGAAAGACAGCUGCCCAAGGCAACCCAACGGCAUAGGAUGCUGAAGGCAUGAGGCCUCUCUUCUUGAAUAUACUGAGAAAUUACGAAAUUACACUGUAAUGAAAGGGCAGGGGCAGUCUCUGAAUGAGGGUUGCGGUAAAAUUGUUCAGGAGUCCUGCUGAGGACCUCGGAAUUUCAAAAGCACCCAUGCCUCCAAGCCCUACCCAUCCAGUUUCCACCUCUCCUGUGAAGACUCCCUCCCUCCCAGCCCGGGCCAGGACACUGCAGUGCUGACGGGAGCGUUCACCUUUCCCUUGAUCACUGGGAAAACAUCCUUAGGGUAUCUGACCUUUCAGAUCUCUGUGUCUCAACUUCUCAGUCCAACUGUAAAUUUCCCAGGGCCAGCGCCUGUGUCUGGAAUUUCUCUGUAUUCAAACAAACAGUACCACCUGGCAUUGAAUGUCAUGGCAUAGAUAUCUGCUCACAGACUACAUUUAACUACCAUUUUCCUUUUGUUUAAAAUGAAACAGAUCACUGAUUAUAAAUAUAGACAGACUUUUCAGGUAAAUCACUUAUCACCUAACCUGCUUUUAUAAACGUAAUUUCUAAUGCUCAGUAUUUCAAUUUCUUUUUAAAGACACGGCACAGAGGUUGUAAUCAAUAUUAUGUGGUCCUGCCAUUCACAAUUAAAGGAAGAAAAACAUUAGUCAAUUGCAGAUUUGAUAAACCAUAUUAAAAAGAAAUUCUUAUGUGUACCCCAGACUGGAAGAGAAAGUUUUUCUAGGAUCUGAUUUUUGAAAUUAUAUUUCUGAUACAGAUCCAUUUUCUACCCACAGCUGUAGUCAUGAAUAGAUAAAACCACACAGCUUGAUCUGAGUCUCAGCAAAAUACGAUACCUCUCGCCCGCCAUUCAAGAUGCUCUGGGUCCUGACUGAAAGUCUGUCAUACAAAGAACAGAGCAGCGCCCUGCAGCCUGUUCAGCUGCACCACCAGGCAGACGUGCAUGGUCACAGCCACCACUGAUGGCCCUGACCAGCCGUGCAGGGCAAUCUGUGCUGCAGUAUUUGCUUCAAAAUGGGAACAUGUCUCAUGGAGUGUAAGAAGGAAGGACAAGCAGCCCAGGGAAUUUUCUUUUUAAAUCACAUACAGAAUAAAUAUAAAUGCCAAGGUCAAGUGAAGUCAAAAGCUGUAUUAUCCUAAAGUAGCUGAAAACAAAAACAAAGUAUCUCCCCCCUCGCCUCAAAUGCUGUGGUUUCUUUAACACACCAUGAGGACUUUUCUCCACUCGUGCACAAAUCCCUCUCUAGGGCCUGCUUUUACAGCGGCAUGUCACACUGGCAACACCAGUGAGAGCCUGAUCCAAACGUGAGGACAUCUGUCACGCUCACGUUCCCUGUCAGAGCUCUGCUGUGUGCACUUGAGCUAAACCACCGCCAAGUGUUGUGACAUCACACUACCUUCCAAAGGCACCUUUCCACAAUGAAAUAAUUCUACUUUAAUAACUCAGUGCAAUAUGCACAAUGUGAAUAAUCAAUAGAUGUAAAAUCUUCUCCUGGCAUUAUACCAGAAGAGCUAUCUGCACUUUCCCCACAGGCACAGCUCCAUCUUCUAAAACGUGGGAAAGAGGAGUAAGGCAGUAAGAUCUAGAAAACCAGUGUGUUCUUGUCCAGUUACUUACUUACUAUCUUUUUAAUUAUUUACCACAAAGCUUUUAAUCUUUCCCCCCUGUUGGAGCAACACAAAUAAAAGGCUGUACACAUUUCAGUAGCUCAAGAAGGCCAAAUGUUACAGUUGAUAGGGACAUAUUUUCUACACAUGGAGAAUAAAGAAAACAGCAAAGAAUGACAGCCUAAAAGAGAUUUUAAAAGUCUAAUGCAGGACUAGGGUGAAUUAAUGAACCAUAUAAGCACGAGACAGAGGUUGCUGGCCCCUAAAGGAUACCUCUCUACGCAAUGACUCACCUGGAAAACGAAAGAAGCCACAAUAGCUAUGGAAGACUGAAAGUCUGUUGUACUUAUUUCUAACACUGACUGAAAAAAAAAACCUGACUGUAUUCUAUGUGCCAGACCCUUAAUAUGGGCACACCUUGGGGAUACUGCGGGUUUGGUUCCGCACCACGACAAUAAAGCAAAUACCAUAAUGAA